ACUCCUACGGGAGGCAGCAUUGGGGAAUAUUGGACAAUGGGGGACCGUAGCAUCCAGCCAUGCCGCGUGUGUGAAGAAGGCCUUAUGGUUGUAAAGCACUUUAAGCGAGGAGGAGGCUACUGAGACUAAUACUCUUGGAUAGUGGACGUUACUCGCAGAAUAAGCACCGGCUAACUCUGUGCCAGCAGCCGCGGUAAUACAGAGGGUGCGAGCGUUAAUCGGAUUUACUGGGCGUAAAGCGUGCGUAGGCGGCCAUUUAAGUCAAAUGUGAAAUCCCCGAGCUUAACUUGGGAAUUGCAUUCGAACUGGAUGGCUAGAGUAUGGGAGAGGAUGGUAGAAUUCCAGGUGUAGCGGUGAAAUGCGUAGAGAUCUGGAGGAAUACCGAUGGCGAAGGCAGCCAUCUGGCCUAAUACUGACGCUGAGGUACGAAAGCAUGGGGAGCAAACAGGAUUAGAUACCCGGGUAGGCUCUG
rnacentral:rRNA from 1 species